rnacentral:rRNA from 1 species
CCUACGGGGGGCAGCAGUGAGGAAUAUUGGUCAAUGGACGAGAGUCUGAACCAGCCAAGUAGCGUGAAGGAUGACUGCCCUAUGGGUUGUAAACUUCUUUUAUAAAGGAAUAAAACGAGGCACGUGUGCCUUUUUGCAUGUACUUUAUGAAUAAGGAUCGGCUAACUCCGUGCCAGCAGCCGCGGUAAUACGGAGGAUCCGAGCGUUAUCCGGAUUUAUUGGGUUUAAAGGGAGCGUAGAUGGGUUGUUAAGUCAGUUGUGAAAGUUCGCGGCUCAACCGUAAAAUUGCAAUUGAUACUGGCAGUCGUGAGUACAGUUGAGGUAAGCGGAAUUCGUGGUGUAGCGGUGAAAUGCUUAGAUAUCACGAAGAACACCGAUUGCGAAGGCAGCUUACUAGACUGUGACUGACAUUGAUGCUCAAAAGUGUGGGUAUCAAACAGGAUUAGAUACCCGAGUAGUC